rnacentral:rRNA from 1 species
CACGUAGGGCGCAAGCGUUGUCCGGAAUUAUUGGGCGUAAAGAGCUCGUAGGUGGUUUGUUACGUCUGCUGUGAAAACCUAGGGCUUAACCCUGGGCUUGCAGUGGAUACGGGCAGACUAGAGGUAGGUAGGGGAGAAUGGAAUUCUUGGUGUAGCGGUGAAAUGCGCAGAUAUCAGGAGGAACACCGGUGGCGAAGGCGGUUCUCUGGGCCUUACCUGACACUGAGGAGCGAAAGCGUGGGGAGCGAACAGG